CUUGCCUGGUGCACUUACUAUAUCCUUGUUACGUUGUGUGAUUCAGUGACUGUUGUACGUACUGGUUAAAGUUGGACAAGUGUUAAAGUGAAUUGUUAAGAUAACAUAUUGUUGAUUAAAUCAGGAAUCAAAAAGUGACAUCGUUUUACUUGGUGUUCAACAAGAUAAUAUCUACCCUCAAGCUUACAUCAGAAGUGAGAUCAGGACUCUACUCUCACUGGCGUGACGUGUUUGAACAUGUUCGAAGUACAGCAAAAAAAACAUGAUGCAGAUCAGAAUACUAGUAGUGGUACGCCACAAGAGCGUGAAUGCAGCAUACGUAAGUCGUGUAAUAACGUCUCUGUUACCUCGAUGGAAGAUCUGAGCCACGAAGAAAUCGUCACAUCUUACGUCCUGGCUCAUGUUGCCCAGUUGACUCUCGACUUAUCACAUAACAAGUACAACACGUAACAAGCUAUUGCAAGAAAUUAAGGCAAGUGCAAAUCUCAAGUGAAACUUCGAUCGCAAUAAUGGAUCUGUCAUGACGAGUGGGUAGUUCCGACACGAAUCGUUUUUAAGCCAAUGACUACUGCUAGAGUUACAUGGCACUAGUACAGUAAACCAGGACAUGAGACUGUGAAUUGUCGCUGAAAUUUUAGAAUCUACUCGAUUCAAUACCAAUAACACUACACGUUCGAUGACUUCGGGCUCCAGCAAGCAAGCAAACAAGGAAGCAAGCAAGUUUCCGUGGGGAAGAAAAAUUGACACAUCUGAAGUCGUCGUGACCUGUAAGAUAAGACGUCCGGUGCGUUCGUGUCUGGCGAUGCGGCGGUGUUCGGGUUCCGCUGGCGGAUGCAGGUUUUUCCGGUGAAGUGCGUGCUUGUGCGUGCUUGACAAGUGUUCGCGGUUGGCUUCCUCAGUGUGGGAGUAACAUCGUGUAAGAGAGGUGGAACCCGUAAAAUUGUAGUUUGCGUGGUGGCUGGUAAGAUUUGUUGCGGUAAGAAGUUUGCAUGGUGGUAAAAUGUCUUGUGAGUCUGCACAGGUAGCUGGAGGUGAGACUUCCGCGGUCGCGGCCCACCCAGUCCGCGAGAACCGGGCAGAUCGCCUCGACGGUACGGAGGCCGGCUGACGGGUCCGCCAAACGACGAGACCACGCCUCCAGCACGGACUGCCGAUAUUGGAGCCCCCGCGCUCCGGCUGCACUUGCGCUAGGGCGCGCCGCCUCGUAGGAGACUGUGAGGUGCUGUGGCAGGUCCAACCAGAGACGUCAACGUGUGUUCCAGAGCUUCAGUGUGUUACAGAUAAGUGGUUUUGGCUCCCCCUUUAUGUUCCAUUCAGGGUCAGAAUGUAGUCUUAUAAAACAAAGCCAUAGUAAUUUAUUCAAUGGUAAGCGGUUUCAUGAACAAGUCACCGUAGUCACCCUAGACACGUCCUUACGGAUCCAUCAGAUCCAAUAACUCUUGCAUUAGAUACCUUCAGCUCUAACACUAGGAGUAGGCUGAGGAACCCCAGUAAUCGUACUCGUCGAACUCGACAAAGAGGUCGACGUGCAACCUAACCCAUGCAUCAGCCCACUGAGUUUCUCGCCGGAUCUUCUCAGUGGGUCGCGAUUCCGAUCCGGUAGUAGAUUCAUUCGCGAAGCAAUUGCUCUUGAGUUGUUAGGUCUCCUGCGGAGGCGCUCGGGCAGUUGUUAGCAAAUCCCACCCCUCUUGGCUGAGCCUUUGCUCGCCCACCCGUCCUGGUGAAGCGGGAAAGGCCUCCGGGCCACCAGUAAUCUUUCAAUCAUCUGCAGUUUUGGAAAACGAUAGGUAUAAGUUGAGACAUGUAAAUGGUUCUAGUGUACAAAAUUCCCCAUGAAAACUUACGCGAAGUGCCUCGAGGCCCGUCAGGCCUACUAGAAAUUUCUAAAAAAUUAUAGAGACGAUGACGUGACGGCGUACACAGAUGGGUUAAUUAAUCUUGUUCAUGAAACUGAUCUUAAUGAUGACGACUCUAUCAGCCUGGCCACGGGACAUUCGCCGAUGCGAAUAUUCGCGCGGUGCGAACGGCGAAGCGUCUAGCGACUAAAACAAGCGCAUAGAAAUGUACCUAACAAGCCACGCGCACCGGCGACCGGCGAAGCGACCGGCGAAAUGUACCGAGCGAAUCGCGCGAUGCGGCGGGCGAGCAAAACAAAUGCAUGAAUACAGACGGCGCGAGCCACGGAGUCGAGCGGUAGUCGCGGCGAAUAGUACAGUGAUUAAAUGAGUUUAGUUGUUUUCGCCGCGAAAAAUUAACGCCGAAAUUUUUAUAUUUUUUAUUUAUUUUUUAUUUUAUAUUUUUAAAGUCGUCGUGGCCUAACGGACGUCCGGUGCAAUCGUGUUGAGCGAUGCACCGGUGUUCGAAUAUCAGGCGGGUACCAAUUUUUGUAAUGAAAUACUUACUCAACAACACUCAACGUUCACGAUUGAUUUCCACGGUGAAGGAAUAACAUCGUGUGAUAAAAAUGAAAUCUUCAAAAUAAUAAUUUGCGUAAUUACUGGUGGUAGGACCUCUUGUGAGUCUACACGGGUGGGUACUACCACCCUGCCUAUUUCUGCCGUGAAGUAGUAAUGCGUUUCGGUUUGAAGGGUGAGGCAGCCAUUAUAACUAUACUUGAGACCUUAGAACUUAUAUCUCAAGGUGGGUGGCGCAUUUACGUUGUGGAUGUCUAUGGGCUCCAGUAACCACUUAACACAAGGUGGGCUGUGAGCUCGUCCACCCAUCUAAGCAAUAAAAAAAUAAAAUAGCUGAAAUACUAGCUAGACCAGCUAUUUGGAAGUCUAGCCACCCAAAGUAUUUCUCGUACUUCUUGUGGAAUUCUCCAUCUAUAGGUAUACUCCGAUUCUUAUUCAAAUCAUGUACUUCACAAUCUUUUCCAAAUAAUAGGUCCUGAACCAAAAAACUAUUAAUUUGUAAGCAAUAUCGAGAUAAUUUCGAUAUAGACAUUUCGCUGUCGGACUUCCUUACUAGUCGCGGCGGCGAACGUGAGUACCCGUGGCCUGCAAACGGUGCUGCGCGAAUGGUCGCCUCGCCCACCGCUUCGCUGUUCGCACCGCCGAUCCCCGUGGCCAGGCCGUAACACUGACAAUAGAAGCGACAUUUUUGUCCGCAAAUAGCGAUACAGCAAACAUAGUCUGUGGGUAGUGAUACAAUGUCUGUAAGCUCAGGCACCUCAGGUGCAGGUGUUGGAAAUGUAGAAAACGAUGGUCGGUCUCGCACUAUUUCUGAAGAAAUUCCGUAUAAAUGUUCUGGUUUAAGAAAUGUUUUAACAAACGCUACCGUACACGCAGAUUAAAAAAAAAAAAAGAAAAAAAAAAGAGAAUUGUAUGUGGCUAGAGAUGUUAAUCCGGACUAGCAAAAAAAAAAGAGGAAAAAAAAAAAGAAAGUGUGAAGUCAUUGAAGGGUCUGUCCGGUCCAAUGGCUUGGCUAUAGGGAUUUUCAUCCAGAUUAGCCACAACAAUUAGCUACAGGGAUUGCGAUUCGGUCUAGCAUUAUCCGGUCCAGUUCGAAAAACUGAAGGGAUAACAAUUCCGGUCUAAGUUAAAAGGGACAUACUUACAUACCUGAAGAGUUUUAAAUGAACUGGCCCAGGUAUGUAAGCAGUCUGAAGGUUAUUUAUAGCCAGUAUAGGAUUUUCUGAAGAAUUAUGCGAACCGAACCGUACUAGAUUGUUAAUAUCAUAGACCACGUUUUAAGUUGCAUCCAGGAUGAACGAACACGUUUGUUGUUCACAGACAUACCAUAAGAAUGCGCGCACGAGGACGAGCGCACGUCAGUAUGGCCGUGACGGCGUUAACGAUAUUUAUGUUAUAUAGCACGUGCAAUAGGAGUGACUCACACAAGCCAGGCGCGCCGGCCGUGUCGUUCCACUCGUAAACAACAGCUGCAACAGAAGUGACUCAUAAGCCAGCUGCGCCGGCUAGUAUAAAAAGGCGGAACGUGCCUUGAAAUGAACAUUCGUUGGACUGCGCUUGCCUGGUGCACUUACUAUAUCCUUGUUACGUUGUGUGAUUCAGUGACUGUUGUACGUACUGGUUAAAGUUGGACAAGUGUUAAAGUGAAUUGUUAAGAUAACAUAUUGUUGAUUAAAUCAGGAAUCAAAAA